CCUAAAGCAAAUAUUAUGAUUAAUUAAGCCAUAGGGCUAAUGAGGUCCAUUUGGAGUAAUUAGGAUCUUAGCUGCUAAAGACAGGGUAAAUAAUAGUGGGUAAGGUUUCUUUAAGGCCAGACAGAAUCUUGGGGAGGGUGCCUGUUGGAAUUCUGGGUAGCUUGAGUCAGUUGGGGUUUCUAACUGCCAACAGACUCCUGGAGGUUUUUUCCCUAGGAGAAGGUUGGUGUUUCUGUUCCCUGGAACACUGAAAAACCCCAGUGGCAGGUGAAGGAGGAGAACAGGCUGGUCUACAUCAGGUAUAAAGUCAGGAAUAGAACUUCUGAAUCAAAGACUCAUCAAAGUAUUGACGUCGAGAGCUGGAAGUGACCUCAGAGAUCAUCUUAUCUCAUCUCAAUUUACAGGCACUGAAGACACACACACAAUUGGAACUUUCCCUACCAGCAUGGAAGGGAUACUUUCAGGCAGAUGGAGUUGGAGGUAUGGCCAUGAAAAAUUCCAUGGAAGCAUAGCCUAAAGGAGACACCAACCCUACCCAUAGGCAGCAUGGGGUGAUCACCCAUCAGUCAUCAAUAACGCACUACCUAUUAUUUUAUCCAAAGCCCUUCCUUCUAUAAUGUAUAAAAUUACAUGUAAGUGUUACUAGCUUUAAUGAUCACACUCUCUAGUGACUAUUAAUAAAAUGCAUAUUUUAUUGCA
rnacentral:lncRNA from 1 species